rnacentral:rRNA from 1 species
AUGAGGCUCAUGUCCAGGAAGCGCCACCGGCAGCGCCGUCGCAGGAGAACUCCACACGAUGGAUUGAUUGCUUCAUUCUGUAAAAAAAAGUGCUCAUUGCGCCAGCAAGAUGAUUAUUCGCAAAGUGGUGCUCGUCCAAGACCGGGUCUAGACCUUCCAGAGGACAUAUAUCGACAUAUACAUGCCCUAAUGCCAUUACGAGAGGCUGCUCGCGCGGCUUGUGUGUCACACACAUUUCUGCAAUCAUGGAGAUGCUGUCGCAACCUUACCUUAAGUAAGGAAACACUAGGUUUGAAUGGAAAUGGUAUUGAUAAAGAUGAAAUGGCAAGAGAUCUCAUCAGUAAAGUUGACGGUAUUCUUAAGAAUCACUCGGGUGUUGGCAUGAAGAAACUAGAGCUUAAUCUCUACUGUUGCCGCAAGGUUGAUCACUGUUAUCUCAAUAGUUGGCUUCCCAUUGCUUUCAGAGCAGGGAUUGAAGAGCUCACCAUGUUGCUGUCUCUUAUCAGUGAGGCAGAAUACAACUUCCCAUGCUCUCUUUUAUUCAGUGGGAGUGAAAAAUCAAUUCGGUAUCUUAAGCUCUCCAGCUGUGUCUUUCGUCCCACAGCUGAGCUUGAUUGCUGGAGAAGGUUGAAGGAGUUGUGGCUGACUAAUGUGCUGAUUACGGACGAUGAGCUAGAGUGCCUUCUUUCCGAUUCUUCCAUGUUGGAGUUACUGUGGCUCUUUAGAUGCAAUGAGAUAGUUCGUGUGAAGAUACCUUGUCAGCUCCAGCGGCUCAGCUUCCUGCGAGCGGGUCAAUGCAGAAAGCUCCAGGAGAUAGAGAGCAACGCUCCAAAUAUCUCGACUUUUGACAUCGGUGGCAGUAACUUGGUAAAGAUUUCAUUUGGAGGCGCAUUGCAAGUAAAGAACAUGACGAUAAUGUGUUCAUAUCAGCCCAACGUUAUCUGGUACACUCGGACCAAGCUUAUGCCAUCUGUACUGAAUGUUGAAACGCUUCACAUAUCCUCGUGUAAUGAGAUGAUCAGUACACCAACACUACCUAGCAAAUUCCUGCACCUCAAAUACUUGCACAUUACUCUAAAUGGAAACGAGGCUAUUUCACCGGCCUAUGAUUAUCUUUCUCUGGUUUCUUUUCUUGUAGCUUCUCCUUGCUUGGAGACUUUCAUCUUUGUAGUACAGCAAACUGACAUGAAGCAUGAUUCGAUUGUCGGGGAUAUCUCGCAUCUGAGGCAGCUGCCAGAACACUGCCAUGACAACCUAAAGAGCGUAACGAUGGUCGGCUUCUGCUCUGCUAAGAGCAUGGUCGAAUUAACACUUCAUAUCAUUAAGAACACAUCGUCGCUUCAGUGUCUCACAUUGGACACUAGUUUCGGUUCUUAUGGCUGUUCGGUCGAUAAACCUGGUGGUUGCAACCCUAUGAGGAGGGAUAUAAUCAAGGAAGCCCAUAGAGCACUUUUGGCUAUCAGAACACACGUUGAGGGCAUAAUCCCCUCUAGAGUUAUGUUAAAUGUUUCAGGGCCUUGCAGUCGGUGCCAUGUUGUUGAACGUGACUAA